rnacentral:rRNA from 1 species
AGUGAACGCUGGCGGUAGGCCUAACACAUGCAAGUCGAACGGCAGCACAGUAAGAGCUUGCUCUUACGGGUGGCGAGUGGCGGACGGGUGAGGAAUACAUCGGAAUCUACUUUUUCGUGGGGGAUAACGUAGGGAAACUUACGCUAAUACCGCAUACGACCUACGGGUGAAAGCAGGGGAUCUUCGGACCUUGCGCGAUUGAAUGAGCCGAUGUCGGAUUAGCUAGUUGGCGGGGUAAAGGCCCACCAAGGCGACGAUCCGUAGCUGGUCUGAGAGGAUGAUCAGCCACACUGGAACUGAGACACGGUCCAGACUCCUACGGGACGCAGCAGUGGGGAAUAUUGGACAAUGGGCGCAAGCCUGAUCCAGCCAUACCGCGUGGGUGAAGAAGGCCUUCGGGUUGUAAAGCCCUUUUGUUGGGAAAGAAAAGCAGCAGGUUAAUACCCCGCUGUUCUGACGGUACCCAAAGAAUAAGCACCGGCUAACUUCGUG